rnacentral:rRNA from 1 species
UAGUCCACGCCGUAAACGAUGUCAACUGGGAGUCUGUGGAUUUAAUCCGUGGGUUCCGAAGCUAACGCGAUAAGUUGACCGCCUGGGGAGCACGGCCGCAAGGUUAAAACUCAAAUGAAUUGACGGGGGCCCGCACAAGCGGUGGAGCAUGUGGUUUAAUUCGAUGCAACGCGAAGAACCUUACCUACUCUUGACAUCCUGCGAAUUUGGUAGAGAUACCUUAGUGCCUUCGGGAGCGCAGAGACAGGUGCUGCAUGGCUGUCGUCAGCUCGUGUUGUGAAAUGUUGGGUUAAGUCCCGCAACGAGCGCAACCCCUAUCCUUAGUUGCCAGCGAUUCGGUCGGGAACUCUAAGGAGACUGCCGGUGAUAAACCGGGGGAAGUGGGGACGACGUCAAGUCAUCAUGGCCCUUAUGGGCAGGGCUACACACGUGCUACAAUGGCCGGUACAGAGGGUUGCCAACCCGCAAGGGGGAGCCAAUCCCAGAAAGCCGGUCGUAGUCCGGAUUGGAGUCUGCAACUCGACU